AUGUUUUUUCAGAAAAUAUUGUGUUUUUUGGCAAAUAUGGCUUAUUUUUAGGAAAAUAAUCAUACUGAUCAAGCCAGUGUGUGAGGAUAUAUGAUCGCCUAUGGAAUCAGUUAGAGUUAAUUGGAAAUAAGCAAGUUGUGCUGAUGUAGGAGUCACUGCAUACUCUAUAUGUAGAUACAUUCAUACGUAAAGAAAAAGAGAUAAAAGUAUAUGGUUGGCUAUAAUAUGGAAAGUUUAAAAAGUUAAAAUCCACGCA